ensembl:lncRNA
AUUUGUUCAAAGUGUUGUGUCAAUCUCCAAUUUUUGCUCUUCCAUUUCUUUUUGCUGAAUUCCAAGUUAGUUGUCUGAUUUUGUGCAUCCAGAAUCUUCUGCUCUAUGAAUUGCAUCUUCAUUGUAAUGUCUUGAUGUGUCUUUUCAACCAACUCUUUUAUUGCCUCUUUCAUAUUUGCAUUGUUUCUUAUCGUUUGCAUGGCCUCUUCUUCUCUCAUCCUUACUUCCGACAAAUCUCUUUCUAGCAUCGUCCUUUCAUCCAAGGCCUUUCUUCGCUCUUCAUAAAUAUCAAGCUUCUCUUGUUCAAGCUGUGCUGUCCCUUCAAAGAUUAUUUCCAGGAUCACUUUAAGCUCCUCCUUCUUAUUGAUGACAUCACUCUUACAACGUUGAACUUCCUCCUGUUGUUUUAUUAGAUUUUCCUGCCCAAUUUGGAGAUCAUCAGUCAAUCGUUUCAGGUCACUUUCUAGAAGCUCAUGUUGUUUCUGGGCCAUGUGUUGUAUCUGUUUAUGAAGUUCUUGGAUUUUCUUUUGGCCUUCAAGAAGUAAAUGGUCCAUCUUUUCUCUGUCACUGUUCAAAUCGCUCUGUAGACCAUGAACUUUGUCUUGCUUUUCUUGGAGUUCCGCCUUUGCCAUUUCAAGUCUUUCUUUUUCUACUCUCACAAAAGAUUGAUCUCUUUCUAGUAUCUCAGUUUGUUCCCGGAUCUUUUUUUCUCUCUUUCCAGUGCCUCUGUUUCUUUCUGGAUUUCAGACCUCAUGAUAUCCAAGUCAAGGUUGUCUUUGUUGAUUAUUUCUUUAACUGUGUCCAGAUAUUUGCUUUGCCUGUCUACUGCUUCCUUUUCCGUUUUGAGAUCUUGUUUCUCCAGUAGCAGCUCCUCGUUCCAAUUCUUUUGCAUUUCUUGUUUUUGUACCAUCAUGUCCGAUUUCAUAUUGAUCAGAUCUUCUCUGUGUCUUUUUAUUUGUUCAAAAUGUGUGUCAAUCUCCAAUUUCUUCUCUUCCAUUUCUUUUUGCUGAAUUCCCAAGUUAGUUGUCUGAUUUUGUGCAUCCAGAAUCUUCUGCUCUAUGAAUUGCAUCUUCAUUGUAAUGUCUUGAUGUGUCUUUUCAACCAACUCUUUUAUUGCCUCUUUCAUAUUUGUGUUGUGUCUUAUCGCUUGCAUGGCCUCUUCUUCUCUCAUCCUUACUUCCGACAAAUCUCUUUCUAGCAUCGUCCUUUCGUCCAAGGCCUUUCUUCGCUCUUCAUAAAUAUCAAGCUUCUCUUGUUCAAGCUGUGCUGUCCCUUCAAAGAUUCUUUCCACGAUCACUUUAAGCUCCUCCUUCUUAUUCAUGACAUCACUCUUACAACGUUGAACUUCCUCCUGUUGUUUUAUUAGAUUUUCCUGCCCAAUUUGGAGAUCAUCAGUCAAUCGUUUCAGGUCACUGUCUAGAAGCUCUUGUUGUUUCUGUUUUUGGGCCAUCUGUUGUAUCUGUUUAUGAAGUUCUUGGAUUUUCUUUUGGCCUUCAAGAAGUAAAUGGUCCAUCUUUUCUCUGUCACUGUUCAAAUCGCUCUGUAGACCAUGAACUUUGUCUUGCUUUUCUUGGAGUUCCGCCUUUGCCAUUUCAAGUCUUUCUUUUUCUACUCUCACAAAAGAUUGAUCUCUUUCUAAUAUCUCAGUUUGUUCCCGGAUCUUUUCUUUCUCUCUUUCCAGUGCCUCUGUUUCUUUCUGGAAUUCAGACCUCAUGAUAUCCAUGUCAAGGUUGUCUUUGUUGAUUGUUUCUUUAACUGUGUCCAGAUAUUUGCUUUGCCUGUCUACUGCUUCCUUUUCCGUAUUGAGAUCUUGUUUCUUCAGUAGCAGCUCCUCGUUCCAAUUCUUUUGCAUUUCUUGUUUUUGUACCAUCAUGUUCGAUUUCAUAUUGAUCAGAUCUUCUCUGUGUCUUUGUAUUUGUUCAAAGUGUGUGUCAAUCUCCAAUUUCUGCUUUUCCAUUUCUUUUUGCUGAAUUUCCAAGUUAGUUGUUCUAUUUUGUGCAUCCAGAAUCUUCUGCUCUAUGAAUUGCAUCUUCAUUGUAAUGUCUUGAUGUGUCUUUUCAACCAAGUCUUUUAUUGAGUCUUUCAUAUUUUGGUUGUGUCUCAUCGUUUGCAUGGCCUCUUCUUCUCUCAUGCUUACUUCCGAUAAAUCUCUUUCUAGCAUCAUCCUUUCGUCCAAGGCCUUUCUUCGCUCUUCAUAAAUAUCAAGCUUCUCUUGUUCAAGCUGUGCUGUCCCUUCAAAGAUUCUUUCCACAAUGACUUUAAGCUCCUCCUUCUUAUUCAUGAAAGCAAUCUUAAAACGUUGAACUUCCUCCUGUUGUUUCAUUAGAUUUUCCUGUCCAAUUUGGAUAUCAUCCGUCAAUUGUUUCAAGUCACUGUCUAGAAGCACUUGUUGUUUCUGUUUUUCGGCCAACUGUUGUAUCACUUUAAGAAGUUCUUGGAUGUUCUUUUGGACUUCAAGAAGUUCAUUUUCCAUCUUUUUUCUGUCACCGUUCAUGUCGCUCAAAGCUCUUUGCUUUUCUAUGAGAAGGUCUGUCCUCAAUCUAUAUUCAAUUUCCUCUGUUUGUAUUGAAAUGUCUUGUCCUAAUGUUAUUUGUUCCUCUCUGGGUCUUUGGAUUGAUUGAAAAUAACUCUCCAUUUUCACUCUAUGGUUAUCAAACUCCUGUUUCUUCAGUUGUGUAAGCAAUUUAAGGUUUUUUAUGUCUGCAUUUGAAUCCCGCAAGAUGUCCAUCUUUGUUUGGUGGUCUACUUGUGUCUUAUUUUUAAGCAUUUGUAGAUUAUCUCUGUGAUAUUGUAUUACGCUUGCUGUUCUUAUUAGCAUAUUGUCUUCCAUUUUGGAUUCAUACAGUCCUUUUCCCAUCCUAUUCCUGUCAUCUGCUAUUGUUUUUUGCUGUUUUAUAAUGUCACUCUUUGUCUUUUUGAGGGUUCCCUUCUCUCUUCUGAUAUUGUCCAUAUCAGCUUCGGCCUCUUGUUUCAUGUAGUUGACAUGUAUUUUUAAAUCUUCCACUUUGUCUCUUUCAAUUUGUAAGGUAUCCCGGCAGUCGUUUAAUAAUUGUUUGUUUCUUUCUAUUUCUUUAUCCUUAAGUUCUUGUUCUUUCUGUUUCAUUAUAAUACCAUUCACAACAUUCUUGUAUUCAGCCUUUCUCUUUUGAAUGUCAAGAGCAUCUUCUUGUAGUCUUUUCCUGUGUUCCUGUAUUUCAUUGAGGGCUCUAUUUAUAAUAGCCUGCUUGUUCGCCAGUUCCACCACUGUCAUUUCAUGUCUCUUUUUUUCCUCUUCCAUUUUUCUUUGGUGACUUGGCAGUAUAACCAUUAACCUGUGUAUAAAGGACUUCAUAAAUUCCCAUUCUUCUUUCUCUUUCUUUGUUUUCUCAUCUAUAUCAUUGGAUUUGAUUUGAAUGAUUUGUGUUUGGGCUAAUCCCAGCACAGUUUUACAAUUGUGUUCAUCUUGUGGAAGCAGUUCGAUGUUCGGUUUCACCUGACUUUGGGGUUCUCCCAAUUUCUCUUGAAUGUAAUCAGCCAAGUCCUCUAUGCCUCCUGCUGUAGGCUCUUGCAUUACCUCUACAUUUCCACUUUGUGGUGCCUGCAAUCUUGGUUCUGGCUUCCCUCCGGGGUUUCCUAUUUGCCCUUGCAGAUCUACCUUCAUAACCUCAGAGUCGUUUAUCUUCUCUUUGCUGCUCACCUCAAUCCUCUGUUCCACCACUUUCCUUUUUAGUGUUUCUUGCUCAAAGGCAUCCGUUUCUUUCUGUACUCCAGACAACGACCACAUCCUUUUAGCCUCUUGCUCUUUUCUAUUGACCUUCCGUAAUGUUUUUUUGUUUUGUUUUCUCUCCACUUCCAGCUCAGACUUAAGCAGUUCCAACUCUCUAAUCUCUCUUUUAGUCCUCUCAAAGUGGUCGUCAAGCUCGCUCCUCUUCUUCUGAAUAUCCUCCCUUGUGUGACUCAAAAUUUGCAUCUCAGUUUGGGCCUGUUGUAUCAUUUUUUCUAAAUCAAACUUUUCAAUCUGUAACUCAGAUUUUAGUUUCUCUAUGUUCAUCUUCUCAGUCUUGUUCUCAGCUGCUAGUGUUUCAAUCUCCUCUCGUUGUUUCUCCAGAUUGAGUUUUAGGGUUUUCAGAUCAUUCAUUUUCAUGUUUCCUCUCAUUUCCAUUUCUCCAAGAUCACUCAUAACUUGGUUAAAUUGAUCAGUGUCUCUUCUUUGUAAUUGUAUCUUGUCAAGCCUCCCAGUCUCUCCUUUACCAUUUCGAUUCUCAGUGUGUUUUCGGACCAAAAUACCAUAGCUUUCAUUGUUUUUCUUUUCGUUCUCAUUUUUCUCCUUUUCCUCAGCCAGCUCCUUCUUUAGACGUUCUAGUUUUAUCUUUAGAACCUCUAACUGAUCCCUUUCUCUUCUGAUCCUCUCCAUCCUAUCAUCCAGUUCUCUCCUUCUCUUUUGCGUAUUUGUUUGGAGGGAUUCCUUUUCUCUUUGAAUUUCGACCAACCGCAUUCCAACUUCCUCUCUUUUUCGUAUUUCCCUCUUAGAUGACCUAUCAUUUUCUUUUCUUUUUGUUACCAACUCUGCCUUCAGUAGCUCAAUCUCCCUUGUCUCUCUCUUGAUGUGUCGCAUUUUAUCGUCAAGUUCGUGGGUUUGUUUUGCAAUACCAUCCCUUGCUUUGUUUAUUUCUGUAUACAGCUUUUGUCUUUCCUUUAUCAGGCUCUCUCUCUCGGACUCAACCUGAUGUUUCAACAUCUCCAAUUCCUGUCUUUCAGUUCUGAGACAAGCCCUUAAUAUUUGAAGGUCCUCCUUUUGUUCGUCCAGAGCAGACUCAGUCUCCAUCUUCUGUUUGGGUUGGCCUUGAAGUUCCGCCAUUUCUUUAAUUUCUCUUUCUCCUUGGUCUAAAUUGGCACUGAACUCAGUUUUCUCAUUUGUUUCUUCUUUGGAUACAAGUUCUAAAAUAUCUUGCUCUUCUUUCUCCAUGUCUCUUUCUUGAAAUUGCUGCCUAUCAUUUACCACUUCUCUUUCCUGUAGUUUAACCUGUGCUAGAUAUGCCUCAUCUCUAUCGAUAUUGGAGUCCAUGUCUACCCUUUGCUGACUGAUUUCUCUAUUGACUUUCUGAAGCUCAACGGUUUUCUGGCAAAUCAUAUCAAUGACACUUUCUAAGCUUUGUUUCUCUGCCUCAAUCUUGCAGUUCAAACCCUUGAGUUGUGUCUGUUUUACUUGGUAUUCCUCUAACUUAGUCUUAAAAUGUGAAACCAUACGUUCAAUUUUAUGUUUUACUUUGGAUAUGUUCUCGAUCUGCUGGUCCACCUGCACCUUCUUCUGAUGUAGUUUCAUUUUUAAAAUGUCCAAUUCAUCCCUCUCUCUGAGAGUUUUCUCUCGUCGCUGGUCAAGUUCUCUCUGCUGUUUCCUAAUCAUCAUUUGAAUCCAUUUCAUGUCAGUCCUCCCUUUGCUCAGAUACAUUUCACUUUGAUCCAUCGCAUCUUUAACUUUGUUUAGGACAUCUCUGAUUUGUUGCAACAGCUGCAGCACUGAUCCCUCAGCGUUCCCGCGGACCUCCGUUGGAGCCAUGUCAAUGCAGCUUUCUUCAGUUUCUUUCAAUGAUAUUUGUUCUAAUGAUUCUUGUAUUCUGUUAAUCUCCCGAAUCAAGGUUUGUAUCCUGGCAUUUCCUAACGCCGGUGGCCCCUCUGAUUCACGUUCUAUCAAAUUUGCUGGUUUUGUUUGGUGUUCAGUUGUUAAAGACGCCACUGGCAUUUCAUAUUCAACAUUCUCUUCUUCAUAACUCUGUCUGUUAACCUGUAAACGUACUCUGUACUGUACUGUCUGUUUGAUCUGCCCGAUUGAUCUAUCACCGUGAUUUCCUACGUCCCUAUUGUCUGACCCAUCAUCAGCCCCUUGCAGAUAAAGGUUGCUUAUAUCCUCAAUCAGUCUUUCCAUCUCUUUGUGGUUUUGUUUUAAGUUGUCCAUAGCCCCUUUCACUAUCUCCUCUUCCUCUCCGAGUUUUGAGACAUAGCUUUCGGUUUCCGUCCUAUCCCUCACAGUCCUUUUUUGUUCCGUUUUAUCCUGAAAUCCAGCUUUUGAGCUGUGUUCAGGUGAAUCCAUAUCCUGCUUAUCCUGUGUAACCACCCUUGAUGGUUGAAUUCCCAGGCUUUCCUUUUCAAUUGUUGAAUACUUACCAAACGUUUGUUCUUCCUCACUUCGUUGACUGACAUCAAGAAAGGUUUGUGUUGCCUUUUCCCGUGCAGUUGGUUGAUCAGGGAGAAUACUUUUUUUUGUUGCCUCCAUGGGGGUGUGAUCAAUCCCUGCACUCGUACUCUGCAUGUCCCCUUUCAUCUCAUCUAUGACGCCCAUGUUAGAACCAGACUCCUUAGUCUUCUGUUCCUCCUUCUCCAGCUGCAUUUUCAUCUUCAUCACCUCCAGGGCAUCCCUUUCCUGAGCAAUCUUCUCCAAUCUUUGGUCAAGCUCACGUCUUUGUUUCUGCGCUCUGUAAUUUGUCCACUUGGUUUGGCUUUCGUCCUGUUGCAUAUUGGUUCUCCCUUGCUUGGGUGUCUGUGUCACCGUCUUUAACACAUCUCUGAUCGCUUGCACUUUAUGAACCAACCUUUGGAUUUUUGCGUUCACUCUGAUCCCUUCACCUGCCCCCGCAUUCUCUGUAUCCGUAGCAAAUUUACUUGCAUCUUCCUUCUUUGACCUCUCUUUCUCAUCCAUGUCUUCUUCUACUUGCGGUACAGUUUCCCUUCUCUUGUCAGCAUCUUGCUGUUUCAUCAUGGUGCGCCUCAUACUUUUCUCCAGGUUACUUUUCUUUGUGUCAAUCUCAGUGUUCAAGACUUCCCUCUCUCGUAUCUGUCUUCUUGUCUUUUCCAACUUUUCAUCAAGCUCCAGCUGCUGCCUUUGAAUGUUCUCCUUCAUCUUUUUCACUUCGUCCAUCUCUGUCUUCACAAACUGCCUAUCUCUUUCUAUGCCAUCUCUCUGGGCCAUUAUUUCAGUUUUCACUCGGUCCUCAUUCAUUUCAUGUAUCGCUGCCGUCAUCCGAUCUCGGGGGGCUACAGUUUGCCUCUCUACAUCAUCUGUAAUAUGUUGUGACCUUGGCCUCAUCUCGGCUGUCAGUUGGUGUUCUGCGGGCCCCGGGGUUCUAGUCUCUGCGGAGACUUCCUGCCCUUCCAAUUCAAGCCAAAGUCUUUCCACUGCUGCCUUCACUCGGUUCAGUUCAUUCUUCAUCUUCUCAUACGGCUCAUUGUCGUCAGGCAGUCUGGCAGUGUGCGAGUGCUCCAUCUUGUUCUUGCGUUUCUCUGUCUCUCUGAUGUUUGUGCUUAUUUGAAGUCGCAUCCGCUUCAUUUGCUUCCUUAGAAAUGCAAUUUCAUACUUUGCCAUCCUGAAGUUGUGUUUUAUUUCAGCAAUAUAUUUUUGCAUUUGUCCUUCCACUUGCUUCGCUUCACCUACUCUUCUCUUGUUUUCCUGAAUGUGACACUGGAUGUCAGCCUGAAUCUUUAUGAAUGCAUCUUGCAGUUGUUUAUUUGUUUUUGUCGGUUCUGUGUGCCUUAUUGGCUUAUCAUGCAUGAUCAGUGCUUUGAAUAUUUCUCGCUCAUUCAUGAACUCAUUUCGCCUGCAGUCUAUAAGUUCUCUUUCUGUUUUGACAUCAGCCCAGACUUUUUCAAUUAGCUCUUUUUCAUUCCUUAUAUCUUCCUUGGUCUUCUGCAGUUUCUGAAUAGCACCGCCUAGCUUAACUUCUAAACUCAUUAUCAAUAAAUUCUGCUGUUGUUUUUCUGCUUUAAGUUGAACAAUUGAUGAUUGUUGGUCUUCAUUUCUUGCCUUCAUCUGGACAAUUUCAGCCUUUUCUGAUUUAGUAUACUCGAAAAGUAUUUCAAUUUCUUUGAUAGCUUGCAGUGUCUCUUGUUUUUGUUUUCUUAGAUAGUACGUCUUGCUUUGCGGGUCAAAGGCGACUACUUUUUCUUCCAAUUGUUCAGGAUUUUCCAAGGAGUUACUCUGCUCGGUUUGGGUCAUCUUGGAGUUUACUUGUCUUUGCUCUUUAAAUGGAAGUAAUACAUGAUCAAUUGCUUUAAGCUUUAGCCUCAUAGUAACUUGUUGUUCCAAUCAUUUUAUUCCCAACAUUACUAUCACACAGGGAUAAUAAAAUGUUUGCAUUGAAAAAAUAUAGACUCAAAGAUGGUAGAACAACAAAUAAUAUUUUGAACCGUAUUUAAAUAUUACAAUUUAGGAUUUAUUUUCUGGCAAUCGGCAUACCACGCACAAAUGUUCAAAAAACGAAUGCAGGGUCAGUUGAUGGCCUUGAAAUAUGCAUCCUAUUCUAUUGUCUUGGCCGUUAAAACACAGAUAU